rnacentral:rRNA from 1 species
CGCGGCCUAUCAGCUUGUUGGUGAGGUAGUGGCUCACCAAGGCGACGACGGGUAGCCGGCCUGAGAGGGCGACCGGCCACACUGGGACUGAGACACGGCCCAGACUCCUACGGGAGGCAGCAGUGGGGAAUAUUGCACAAUGGGCGAAAGCCUGAUGCAGCGACGCCGCGUGAGGGAUGACGGCCUUCGGGUUGUAAACCUCUUUCAGCAGGGAAGAAGCGAAAGUGACGGUACCUGCAGAAGAAGCGCCGGCUAACUACGUGCCAGCAGCCGCGGUAAUACGUAGGGCGCAAGCGUUGUCCGGAAUUAUUGGGCGUAAAGAGCUCGUAGGCGGCUUGUCACGUCGGUUGUGAAAGCCCGGGGCUUAACCCCGGGUCUGCAGUCGAUACGGGCAAGCUAGAGUUCGGUAGGGGAGAUCGGAAUUCCUGGUGUAGCGGUGAAAUGCGCAGAUAUCAGGAGGAACACCGGUGGCGAAGGCGGAUCUCUGGGCCGAUACUGACGCUGAGGAGCGAAAGCAUGGGGAGCGAACAGGAUUAGAUACCCUGGUAGUCCACGCCGUAAACGGUGGGCACUAGGUGUGGGCAACAUUCCACGUUGUCCGUGCCGCAGCUAACGCAUUAAGUGCCCCGCC